CCCUUCGAUGUUCUGGGCUGCACGCGUGUUACAAUCGGGAGUACAACAAGAUUGCAAAUCCUAGUGGAUGAGUGGUUCUUCGAAAUUUUCUGAAGACUGGGAUAGUUGAUUGAAAUUAUUCAACUCGAACGAGGAAUUCCUUGUAAUUGUAAUUCAUUAUAUUGUAAUGAAUACGUCCCUGCCCUUUGUACACACCGCCCGUCGCUCCUACCGAUUGAACGAUCCGGUGAAUUAUUUGGAGUAGCUCUGGAAGUUGCAGAACUUCCUAUGUCACGAAAUUUUGUAAACCUUAUCGUUUAGAGGAAGGAAAAGUCGUAACA
rnacentral:rRNA from 1 species